GACGAACGCUGGCGGCGUGCUUAACACAUGCAAGUCGAACGGUGAAGCGCCUUCCUUUUUGGUGGGUGUGGAUGAGUGGCGAACGGGUGAGUAACACGUGAGUAACCUGCCCCCUUCUUCUGGAUAACCGCAUGAAAGCGUGGCUAAUACGGGAUAUUCUGGGUCUGUCGCAUGAUGGGUCUGGGAAAGAUAUUGUUUCGGUGGGGGCUGGGCUCGCGGCCUAUCAGCUUGUUGGUGGGGUGAUGGCCUACCAAGGCGGUGACGGGUAGCCGGCCUGAGAGGGUGGACGGUCACACUGGGAAUGGUACACGGCCAAGACUCCUACGGGAGGCAGCAGUGGGGAAUAUUGCACAAUGGGCGCAAGCCUGAUGCAGCGACGCCGCGUGAGGGAUGGAGGCCUUCGGGUUGUGAACCUCUUUCGCCAGUGAAGCAGGCCUGCCUCGUUUGUGGGUGGGUUGACGGUAGCUGGAGAAGAAGCGCCGGCUAACUACGUG
rnacentral:rRNA from 1 species